GGAGAGUGAAGGGUGCCUGGUGGCCCUCGCGGUCUUCAAAACCGUUGUCGGCUCCGCAUAACCGGAGCCGAGAUAGGUUCGAUUCCUAUCCUCUCCGCA
rnacentral:tRNA from 1 species